GUGCUUGUUUUGGCAGCACAUGUACUAAAAUUGGAUGAUACAGAGAAGAUUAGCAUGACCCCUGCACAAGGAUGACAUGCAGAUUCCUGAAGUAUUCCAUAUUGUU